rnacentral:rRNA from 1 species
CAGCAGCCGCGGUAAUACGUAGGAGGCGAGCGUUAUCCGGAUUUAUUGGGCGUAAAGAGAGCGUAGGCGGUUUGUCAAGUCGGAUGUGAAAUCUCCCGGCUCAACUGGGAGGAGUCAUUCGAUACUGAUGGGCUAGAGUGCAGCAGGGGAAAACGGAAUUCCCGGUGUAGUGGUGAUAUGCGUAGAUACCGGGAGGAACACCAGAGGCGAAGGCGGUUUUCUAGGCUGUUUCUGACGCUGAGGCUCAAAAGCGUGGGGAGCGAACAGGAUUAGAUACCCUGGUAGUCCACGCCGUAAACGAGGAC